rnacentral:lncRNA from 1 species
CGCCUGCACUGCACUGGAUACGGCUUUGGACCGAGAGCUCGUCCGCGGUCCGCUGCUGGAGGGGGAAAACACCCGGGAAGCUUGGACUCCCUCUGUUCUACUAGAGCUGGAAGGGUGAAGGUCAGAAUGUCUCAUGAAGAUAACAAUCAGCCUCAUCUUCUCUAACGGCCACUAAUGCGAUGAUAUUUAACAGCUCAACACGCUUGGAGGAGAGCACUAACUACCUGUUCUGCUAAUCAGGUAAAACAUUCUCUCAUACUCUCACCUACUAGCAUUGAACCAUUCUACACACUACUGGCUAUGGAUG